rnacentral:rRNA from 1 species
CAGCCGCCGCGGUAAUACGAAGGGUGCAAGCGUUAAUCGGAAUUACUGGGCGUAAAGCGUGCGUAGGCGGUUUGUUAAGUCUGCUGUGAAAUCCCCGGGCUCAACCUGGGAAUGGCAGUGGAUACUGGCAAGCUAGAGUGUGUCAGAGGAUGGUGGAAUUCCCGGUGUAGCGGUGAAAUGCGUAGAGAUCGGGAGGAACAUCAGUGGCGAAGGCGGCCAUCUGGGACAACACUGACGCUGAGGCACGAAAGCGUGGGGAGCAAACAGGAUUAGAACCCGAGUAGUCCCUGUCUCUUAUACA